AGAGCAGAGAAGCAGCUAGGGUUCUUGGAAGGGAGGCCUUGAGCGUGAAAAGAAAAAAAACAGAGUGAAGGAAGAGUGGCGGCUGACGGGAAGAUCAGGAGAGAAAGACGCGGCAACGGACAGAGGAGGAAGAACCAGGUCACCACCAGUCCGCGUCCGCUCUGCUGCUGUCUGCUAUCGCCAACACCGCGCACAACCUCCUGGGCUGCUGCCGUUCUCUGUAACACUAGAUGAAGGCUCUCGGACGAAAUCAGACCUAGUCAUCUUCCAAUUCCAACUCACCGUCUUCGGCUUCGUCAUAAUCGCCGUCGCCACCGCUCAACAUAAAAACCAGGUGGUGAAUGAGGAGCUAUGGAACGAGGCGAAAACUUAUGGUGACAUCCAACUGAUGCCAUUUGUUGACUACUAUAGCCUUAUCACAUGGAAGACUUUAGCUAUAUGCGUAUUUGGGACACAGGUUGUUUCAGCAAAAUUUGUCAUGAAGACAGACGAUGAUGCAUUUGUUCGGGUGGAUGAAAUUUUGGCCUCCUUGAAUAGGAUUAAUGUGAGCCGUGGUUUGCUUUAUGGGCUCAUUAAUUCUGAUUCACAUCCUCAUCGAAGUCCUGAUAGCAAGUGGUACAUUAGUCCUGAAGUAAGUUUGUCCUGAAUGCAUCUCAUUCUG